AGCGUGGGGGAGCAACAUGAUUAGAUACCCUGUAGUCAACGCAGGUAACGAUGAUACUAGUGUCGGGUGGCAUAGCCAUUACGGUGCCGUCGCAAACGCAAUAAGUAUUCCACCUGGGGAGUACGUUCGCAAGGAAUGAACUCAAAGGGAUUGACGGGGACCCGCACAAGCGGUGGAGCAUGUGGUUUAAUUCGACGCAACGCGAAGAACCUUACCAAGUCUUGACAUCCCGAUGACCAUCUAUGUAAUGUAGACUUUCUUUCGGAACAUCGGUGACAGGUGGUGCAUGGUUGUCGUCAGCUCGUGUCGUGAGAUGUUGGGUUAAGUCCCGCAACGAGCGCAACCCCUAUCUUUAGUAGCCAGCAUUUAAGGUGGGCACUCUAGAGAGACUGCCAGGGAUAACCUGGAGGAAGGUGGGGAUGACGUCAAAUCAUCAUGCCCCUUAUGACUUGGGCUACACACGUGCUACAAUGGCGUAAACAAAGGGAAGCGAGACUGUGAAGUGGAGCAAAUCCCAAAAAUAACGUCUCAGUUCGGAUUGUAGUCUGCAACUCGACUACAUGAAGCUGGAAUCGCUAGUAAUCGCGAAUCAGAAUGUCGCGGUGAAUACGUUCCCGGGUCUUGUACACACCGCCCGUCACACCAUGGGAGUGGGCA
rnacentral:rRNA from 1 species